GGCGCUAUAGCCAAGUGGUUACGGCGACAGAUUCGAAUAACUCUAGUAUCUGUUCCUCUUUGAGGGCGCAGGUUCAAAUCCUGCUGGCGUCG
rnacentral:tRNA from 1 species